rnacentral:rRNA from 1 species
GAUGAACGCUGGCGGCGUGCCUAAUACAUGCAAGUCGAGCGAACAGACGAGGAGCUUGCUCCUCUGACGUUAGCGGCGGACGGGUGAGUAACACGUGGAUAACCUACCUAUAAGACUGGGAUAACUUCGGGAAACCGGAGCUAAUACCGGAUAAUAUAUUGAACCGCAUGGUUCAAUAGUGAAAGACGGUUUUGCUGUCACUUAUAGAUGGAUCCGCGCCGCAUUAGCUAGUUGGUAAGGUAACGGCUUACCAAGGCAACGAUGCGUAGCCGACCUGAGAGGGUGAUCGGCCACACUGGAACUGAGACACGGUCCAGACUCCUACGGGAGGCAGCAGUAGCGAAUCUUCCGCAAUGGGCGAAAGCCUGACGGAGCAACGCCGAGUGAGUGAUCAAGGUCUUCGGAUCGUAAAACUCUGUUAUUAGGGAAGAACAAAUGUGUAAGUAACUAUGCACGUCUUGACGGUACCUAAUCAGACAGCCACGGCUAACUACGUG